rnacentral:rRNA from 1 species
UACGGAGGGGGCAAGCGUUGUUCGGAAUUACUGGGCGUAAAGGGCGCGCAGGCGGCUGCUCAAGUCAGGCGUGAAAGGCCUGGGCUCAACCCGGGAAUUGCGCUUGAGACUGGGCUGGCUUGAGUGCGGGAGAGGGUGGUGGAAUUCCCAGUGUAGAGGUGAAAUUCGUAGAUAUUGGGAAGAACACCGGUGGCGAAGGCGGCCAUCUGGACCGCAACUGACGCUGAGGCGCGAAAGCGUGGGGAGCAAACAGG